CAAGGAAUUUUCGUCAAUGGGCGCAAGCCUGAACGAGCAACGCCGCGUGGUGGAUGACGGCCUUCGGGUUGUAAACACCUUUUGGGGGGGACGAUAAUGACGGUACCCCUUGAAUAAGCCCCGGCUAACUCUGUGCCAGCAGCCGCGGUAAGACAGAGGGGGCAAGCGUUGUCCGGAAUUACUGGGCGUACAGGGCACGCAGGUGGCUGCAUAGGUGGCGUGUGAAAGCCCCGCGCUUAACGCGGGGAGGCCACGCCAAACGGUGCGGCUCGAGCGAUGCAGAGGGUGGUGGAAUUGCCGGUGUAGUGGUGAAAUGCGUAGAGAUCGGCAGGAACACCAAGGACGAAGGUAACCACCUGGGCAUCAGCUGACACUCAUGUGCGACAGCGUGGGGAGCGAACCGG
rnacentral:rRNA from 1 species